rnacentral:lncRNA from 1 species
CGCGUGUGUGUGCCUGUGCGUGUCAGUGAGCUCUCCGGAAGGAGUGUGUGUGCAUGAGUGGGCGUGAGGGAGCUAGCCCUGGCGUGCGCCUGCGUGUGAGAGCGUGUGCGUGCGUGCAUGUACAUGCCUCCACCCCUCUGCUGAGGUAUGGAAUCAGCGGUGGUCAGCACGGGGACAGAGACAGGCAAGGAGGUGCACAUUCCCCAGGAUCCUGGAGAUCGGCCUGAAGACCCACAGGGAUCUCACGGUGCUGCCUGGUCACCCUCACGAAGUCCACGAUGUUGGGGAAAAAACAGUCUUUUUGAUGCCCAAGGGAAGCUUUGCUUUUAUGUUAGUGGUUACACAAUUUCUUUUACAUAUCAUCAGCAGGAAAACAUCAUGUUUAAAACUUUGCUUAGAACAUGUGAUUCCCCAAACGCUGCGUGCGGAAGGCCGCAGGGUCCUCUGCCUAGGAAAACCAGAGACCUUUGUUCACUUGUUUAUCUG